UGCUUAUUCUCUUUGUCUGUUGUGCUUCAGUUACUGCUUUGUUAAGUCCAUUCCUUCAUCACUAAAAUGCUUAUGAUGUGCGCCUCUAAAUUCAAAGUUACCUGCUCAUUCUCUGUGUCUGUUGUGCUUCCAUUACAACUUUGUUAAGUCCAUUCCUGCAUCACUGAAACGGUACAAGUUGUAGUAUGUGUAGUCAGAAUCAGACAAUCAUAGAUUCCAGCCAGCAGAUGAUGAAUCCUCCUACUUCGGAGACUUUAGUAUGGUGUUAUUUAUGUACUGUACUUUCUUACUCACUUAUAUUGAUUAGUGGUAGUUGGAGUCGCGUCCCAGCUAUCUAUAGUCAGUAUAAUAAAGGCUUCAUAGACGUCAGUUAGAGCCAAUCAUGUAAUUUCAA